AAAAGAAAAAUAAACAAAACCAAAAUCUGAUUAUUUCGAAAAGUAAAAUUAAGAAAUAAAAUGAUACAAAUAGAUAAAACAUUUAUAAUAUCACCAAGAAGAAUUAAUGUCAAAGCUAAUGAAAACGAGAACCCCACUAAUUCGUGUCUCCCUAUUGUGAGCUCCUCCAUUAGUCUCGGUGCUUUUUCUCUUCUUUUUUUUAAAUUUUGUGAAGACGUGUGCACUUAAUGAAGCAUGCCACGGCCAAGAAAGUGGUAUCCAGCUGGAUAUACGGUAAAUUCGGGCAGGUUGGUAAACGUAAGGAACGAUUUUCCGCGGUGGAUGUGAGGAAAUUGGAAAGUGAACUCUUCAACAGGGGCAAAAUGGACGUGUACGCACCCAACAACAGGAGGAACGUGACACCUUCCAGGAUAUUCUUCGAGAUAGCAGGAUGUAUUAGAAAGUUAGUUCUAUUUAAUUCUUACGAGACCAGGUGAAACUGGAGUCAGCAAUCACAAGAAGAAAAAAAGUGUCCGAGGCUGAGGGCUGGAAAGAUCUGCGAGCAGGUCUUGUUCAUGUCCACAUUGAAGAAUUCAGACCUGCCAAAAAAAAAAAAAUGCAGCUUCUGUGGCUGUGCACAGGUCCCAGAGAUUGUCUUGUGUCCUGAUUGUGGACCUGGAAGACUAUUGCAAAUCAUGUGAUGAAAAGAUCUACUGUUUGGUGAUGUAUCAUCAGACAUACAGUUGGAAAGAAGACGCAUCAUUGUAUCUACCUGUGAAAAGAGAAGCAACCAUUUUGUCUGAGCACCAGUGUGACAAGCUCUAUUACCGUCAGAUUGGAGUUUUUGAUGCACAAGGCAGAGAUCACAUCAUGAAAGUACAGUUCUGUGAAUGUGAGCCAGAAGCAGUAACACUAAUAAGAAAUGCUUAUGGCCAGCAACACCAAAGAAGCCAG